rnacentral:tRNA from 1 species
GCGGGAGUAGCUCAGUUGGUAGAGCGACAGCCUUCAAGCUGUAGGUCGCGGUUCGAGCCUCGUCUCCCGCU